GUGCCCCGUACUUUGCUGCCGUGUUCCUUCUUCUUCAAUUAUGGAAUGAUUUAUCCUUGUAAAUGUCUAAGUUACAGUGCACGCGCAUGUUAAUCGACGGUUGCCAAUAUCCCGCAAAACGAUCGACGGAAGGAAAUCGGUGUCCGGUUUUAAAAUAUAAAGAUUUCAUUACAGCUCUUUCGUAGAAGAGCGCACUUCAAGGACGCCUAGGAUACAGCUAAACAUGCGCAGCACCAGUCCGUGACGUCAUUUCCAGACAGGCGCCGGCUGAACACGCGCAGCACCAGUCGAGGAUAUCCUAGCGCAGAGGGUAGAAUGCGUGCGAACAGACGGCGUCCACAGGUCUGCCCACGCCCGAAUGCAGAGCCGAUGGCAUACGAUUCUAUCUUCACCAUUAACAUGAGAGGGACAGAGCUUAUACCCCGAACGUACCCGAAAGGUAUGCAUGCUUCACUCAUCAGGAUCUAAAGGUAAGGACAAGGCAAAAGAGACAAAGAAAAAUUUACUCACGGCUACACAUGUCCUUUUGAUGCGUUGUCUAUGCGUCUCACUCGGUAUCACAGCGGCAUACGGCAGGUAAGCAGUACAAAUGCUGCUACCUGAUACGCACACAUGUUUAUCGAACACAACUAUUCGGUUCGGUUCGGUAAACUUCACGAGGACGCCGGAACAAAAGGGCGCAGACUUUUUCAUGAUUUUGUAUGACUUCGGCUGUUUUGGACCUCGCGUGUUGUUUGUUCCUUUGUUUAUUAAUGUUUAUUCCUUUAAAUUUGUGGCGACCACGUU